rnacentral:lncRNA from 1 species
UUUCUUAAAAUAACUUCCUCAUCUAACGCCUUCUCAUAUUUAAUUUGCAAUUCUUUAAAUUCCUUUUUCAAAUUUUUAUGAGCAGUAUUCAAUUUCGCAGAUUCAUUAAGCAAUUCAAGAAAAGCCUUUUGUACAUCAAAUUCACUAGUGUCAAGGCUAGAGCAACUUACUUGGCUUGCAUUGUCAUCAACAUUAGCUGUCAAACAUAAGUUUGCUUCUUCAACAGAAUCACUUGAACUAGAAGUGCUUGAUGUGUUAUCCUCCCAAGCAAUAUAAGCUCUUUUCUUCUCUUUGUGAGUUUUCUUUUCCUUUCUUUCUUCACUUUUCUUGCUGUUUGGACAAUCGACAUUUACGUGCCCUUUUUCUCCG